AGAGAGACAUCGAUAGAGCACAUCAGCACGAGUGCAGGCCGCCAGCGGCGCCGCCGUUGGGGUUGAGCGGAGGGGCAAACACUGCGCCUACGCCGCGGCGGUAGCCGACUGCGGCCUCUGCUCUUCGUAGGAGGGCGGAGUAGAAGAGACGCCUAGGUCGGAGGAGCCCGUCGCUCGACGGACGCCCCCUCCUCCCCGUCGCAGCCGCCCCGACGCCACCUCCUCGCCGUCCUCCAUGUUCAGCGCUGCGGACUAAGUCCCCUUGUCUCCACGGCGUCGGGCGCCCGUCACCGUUCACGUGCCGUAUCGCCGUCUUCCUUACGGAUCGUGGGCGGACCACGGCCGCCGCCCCCGUCUUUCCCCGCCACCGGCCACCCCGAGAUCGUGGGCGGCCCGCCGGCGGCGGUGUAGUUCGAGCCGCUCGAGGUCGAGGGACCUGUACGGCGGCUACACGACGAGACAGUGAUACUUCAUCAUACGACACACCUCAUGGUGAACCUCUGUCAAAGUCCGUCAUCUUUCUAGUCUACUUCAUACUACGACGCACCUCAUGGUGACACUCUGUUAAAGUCCAUCGUCUUUCUAGUCCAAUCAAAGUUCUCUUUUCUUUGUAGUCCUCGUCCAACCCUUUUACUCCGUUUGUUCUAAUAAAGUUUUAAGCAGUUACAUUUUAUGGAUCUUUAGGAUACUUACUUACCGACUAGACUAGGCAAUCAUGAGGGGGUUUAGUGAUCUUUUAACGUGGCGCCUUAGAGAGAGUUUAUUAACAACGAAGUACUCCGCCUUGAACUUUGGCCGGAGUGAUGUAUAAAUCAUGACAUGCAUCAAACGUUACAUUACAAGGAAAGUCACACUUGGAUUAACUCUUUUUAUUUUACUGUCUUUAUCCCUCUUAGAAAGAUUUGUAUUACUUAAUAAGCUCCACACUAACGAUGUGAAACAAUGUAGAUUGACUUACGAAGACAACGGUAGGUUUGUUUCAGACCUGACAGAAUUGUACAGACCGGUUUACUCCCUACUUACCAGUGUUUCUACUCCUACAUCAUCUCCGUUGAUCGUUCAGUGACUUGACAUACGAAAAGGACAAGUAUUAUUGUACGGACGUUAAAGGUGUUACUCAGUAAUCACGUAUAAAACGUUACAUUGUAAAGCAGCGCUUGUAUUAACACCUUUCACACGGAUUUCUUACCAGAUCUGUCUUACCCUUGGAAAGAUGAGAUUGUAUGACCCUUUGUGACUAAUACUCAAUACGUCAAUAGUCCUUACUUAACCAAAAGCUUAAAGACUCCAGUUUCAAACUCGACUUUUUUACACUGUGGAGUAAUCGAACGAUGUGUACAAAUAUUAUAAAACUUUACAUAGAAGAUAUAUCAUAGAACUACCUUUACAAAUUAAGUAGAUCGGUAUUUUUGUACAUGGGAUAGUGUUUAGACACUCACAGUACGUGUCGUAGUGAUAAAUGACCAGAGUAAAUAAAUAAACUUAAAAAUUUUUACCUACCCACCAAAUUAAUAUACUGGUGGGUUCACUAUAUUAUAAAACAACAGAUUUAGAAGAACGGCCAGAAUUAAAGUGGUUCGGACUAAGUCUUGUGUACUUUAAGUGUAUUCAGUUGUCCUAAAACAAGAUAGGACGACCUUAACCCCUUUUUAGUAAACGAGGUUUGUUCCUGUUCCAUCAGUCCAUUGAGAUCACGCCGUGAUCAUCACGUCAAACAAGUAAUACUUUCCCGUCCCCAUAUUAAAAAUCCUUUCUAUUAAUAUUUAUACAUGGACACCGGGUGUCUUUAACGAUUCGGGCUUAUAUGUACUGAACUCUUCUUUUAGUCAUAAUUUUUGGGUGUUUUUUACGCAUUCUUUUUCUUUAAUUCCGUGCGUUUCGUCUCCUUUGAUUCGAACCGUCGGUUGCCGAUAUUUAUGGAGUGGUGGAACAAGCGUGGUAGGUUUCUUUGUCUCAAGGUCGUCUCUUUUCACUCUAGACGGAAGAAGGGGGUAGUACCGACGGUACACCAUAGGCUAGUAGCCAGAGGAGGAAGAGUACGAGGGUGAGCCCGGGAGGAGGCGGUAGUUCAAGGGUGAGUAUCCGUUGCAGAUGGGACUACCGGUGAAGAUACGAUGCAACGUCUAACCAUUCGGGAACUUCGGGAUGAAGGACCUGUAGCUGUGACCGUCGUUGGAGUGAACCGACCUCACACUCGUGGGUCUAGUGCCGACGUUCCCGACGUUGGUCUCCUGUGGUGUGGGUAUAAUGUUCGGUCGUCGAGUAUUGAACUACCACUCUACACUGUCGACCUAUACACGAGUUGACGCGUUUCUGGUCGGACCAUCAGGAGUUACGGGGUUGUCGCUAGGUGUAGCUACGGUGAUACUAUAGGUUAUACAGAGGCCCUCCAGUUUUCCGCUGGAACGGUUGCUGUACUAGAAAUAGUUAUCCUCUCUACUAUACUUGAUGCAAAAGCCUACACCUAUGCUCGUCCUCCUCGGUAAUCUCGUCGGUAGCGGUGGCCGCCAUCUACCGUAGGAACCUGAGCCCUCCCCUUCGCAUCCUAAACAGCGAGUUGAGUUCCGUGUUUUCUUCUAUCAGUCCUUACAGUAACCUGUAACGGAGUCGUAGGUACCUUUACCCUUGGACAUGUAACCCCUGAAGUCCGACGGGGGUCCGCUGCAGUGGACCCGUGGGUACUCAUGUAGAAACGGAAUGAUGAGUGGGCCGGGUCGUUGUGACGAGAUACUGCUUGUCGGCUAUUCUCCAUCAGGUCGUAAGUGCUGUCAUAAACUGUCACCUCGGUGGAUGUGGAUGUACGGACCGGUCUAUAUGUUACCGGAACAAAGUUUCCAAGUUCUGUGGGAGGUGUUUAGUAGUGAAUUUCUCCACUUCCUAGCACGAGACGGAGUUACGACCUUUCCUUUUUACGGUAAGUCUAGACAGCUGCUACACUUCUUACUUAAGUUCAGUGACAGCGAUUUUUAAUGGGUACGGGCGCCGUGGUCGUUGGACCUGUAGGGAGGACUUUUGAUGGAGUAGCACUGCUUUCUGCCCUUACGCACGAACCGGUAGGAGCUACCGAGCAGCCUAGCACAAGACUCCGUAGAGUAGAAUUAACCUCUACGAUACUACGUCCUAGACAAACACUAUAUACUGUUGCUCCAGUUGGCAUAGCCUACCCAGGCACGUGUCACGCUGUCCUACGUCCUGGAACUCAGACCGUAGUAACUAAGUGCAGAGACU
rnacentral:rRNA from 1 species